rnacentral:tRNA from 1 species
GGAAGAUCGUGUCCGGUAGAGGCGGCUGGACCAAAUCCAGUUGGGGCCGCCGGCGCGUUACGGGCGGGAUUCGACUCCUGUGAUCUUGCCA